rnacentral:rRNA from 1 species
AUGAUGCUGGCGCUGGUUUCGUACCCCGCGGCGAACAGAGUCCUGCACUCGCCGAUCAUCUCCUGGGUGCUCAGAGUCUCGGCGCCGCUGCCACUGCGACAUGCCUGCUGCUGCAGCAUCUGCCCGAGCAGGUCGUCCUCGUAUACGCUGCUGGCAAGUCGCGCCUUCAUGAUGGGUGAGAUCUUGCUUGUCACAAGCUUGUCGAGCUGCCACAUCCGACGGUUGCGACGUGUCGGCAGGUACCUAGGAUUAACCAAUAUUAAUUUCGAUCGAUUCAUUCAUUCUGGCUACUCUUUCGAGUUUCUACCUGAAUCCAGGUAA